GACGAACGCUGGCGGCGUGCUUGACACAUGCAAGUCGAACGGAAAGGCCUGCUUUCCCUUGUGGAUUGCGGGUACUCGAGUGGCGAACGGGUGAGUAACACGUGAGUGAUCUGCCCCCAACUUGGGUAUAAGCCUGGGAAACUGGGUCUAAUUCCCGAUAGGACUGCAGGGUGGUGCCUGUGGUGGAAAACGAUUUUCUAGUGGUUGGGGAUGAGCUCGCGGCCCAUCAGCUUGUUGGUGGGGUAAUGGCCUACCAAGGCGGCGACGGGUAGCCGGCCUGAGAGGGUGGACGGCCACAUUGGGACUGAGAUACGGCCCAGACUCCUACGGGAGGCAGCAGUGGGGAAUAUUGCACCAUGGGCGGAAGCCUGAUGCAGCGACGCCGCGUGGGGGAUGACGGCCUUCGGGUUGUAAACUCCUUUCGACCGCGAGGAAGCCACCUGGUUGGAAGGGUGGUGACGGUAGUGGUAGAAGAAGCACCGGCUAACUACGUG
rnacentral:rRNA from 1 species